UACGAAGGGUGCAAGCGUUACUCGGAAUUAUUGGGCGUAAAGGGCUCGUAGGCGGUCUGUUGCGUCGGGAGUGAAAACUCAGGGCUUAACCCUGAGCCUGCUUCCGAUACGGGCAGACUAGAGGUAUGCAGGGGAGAACGGAAUUCCUGGUGUAGCGGUGAAAUGCGCAGAUAUCAGGAGGAACACCGGUGGCGAAGGCGGGACUCUGGGCCGAUACUGACGCUGAGGAGCGAAAGCGUGGGGAGCAAACAGG
rnacentral:rRNA from 1 species